CCGCCUCCUCCUGCCCACUCAUCACCGCCGUCGAACCGGCUGCCUCGGCUCUGUCUCUGCGCCAUGUCCGCACCCUGGGAACCUCUCCCAUAGCCGCUCGGCCCGAUCUGCCGUGUCUCGGCAGUGGCAGCGGCGCUUCCCUUCCCCCGUCCCAGCCACCCCUCUCCGGCGAGCUUGUGCUCUUCUCUCGGCGUCGCCGGCGAGCUCGCCUUCCAAUGGGUGUCUGGUUUGUGGGUGACAUGCGGCCGUCUUGGCCUUGGACCCGGGCACUAUGACAUUGUCAAGCAGUCUUGAAAUCGGCUUCACUGCCUCAGGGUUGAAGAACAUUGCUGAUCUGAGGAGACAUUCACACAGUGACACAGGGGAUGUGAUGUGAGGACUGAGGAAAAACGACGAAUUGAGAUAUCCCUUCCAAUGCAUGAAUAUGAUAAGCUCAAGAGUAAACUGACUUACACUGUCAUGUGUGGAUCUCUUAUCCACGACCACGCGUGUUGAACCUUAUUUUUUCUUAACGCAGAGCUUUCAACCUCCUUCUCAUCUGUAUUUGCCAGACUCUGCGAGUUCCUCAGGAAGAUCCUCUCCUGCCGAGCAUUAUUCCGUGCCAUCUCAUCCUCCUAAUGUAUGUGUUAACAAGGGUCCGUAUUCAACCGUUCGCGGAUGAAGUACUCCAGCGCUGCUGAUAUCUUCUCCAUGAAUUCCGUCCCCGGCAUCUUGACAACAGGAUUCUCAAGCUCGUACGUAUCUCGGGGCAUCACCUCUUUCCCCUGAGCUCUGAAUAUCUCCGUCAAGAGAAUCGCUUCAGCCUCCUGGUGCAUAUAUGCAUUGUGAAUUUUAUGAUAAACUGUUACCUUGUCGAGGGAAUGAAAUGAAAUAGACUUGAGGGCUCACCGAGUCUGCACGAUACUUGGCAGUUUUGAAGUACCUCUGUCGCAGCUUGGUCAUCUUGGACAUAGGGGCGACGCCAUCUGCGGUUGGAAUUUGUAGGUGGAUGAUGCAUAUCAUGGGAAAGAGGAAUCAAGAGAAGCCAUUUUUGUGUGUACUAGGGAUCGAUCCAUGUAUAUAAUAUGUACGGACCUACUGCCAAGUAAAGGAGCCUCCUUGGCCUGACGAUGCGAAACAGGCGAUCCAAGUAAGCGAAAAACCAAUUGUACACCUGCGCAAAUGCCAGUGAAAUUAAGGCCAGGUCAAGAGUUCAAGAGAA